GUGGGGAAUAUUGGACAAUGGGCGAAAGCCUGAUCCAGCCAUGCCGCGUGUGUGAAGAAGGUCUUCGGAUUGUAAAGCACUUUAAGUUGGGAGGAAGGGCAGUAAGUUAAUACCUUGCUGUUUUGACGUUACCGACAGAAUAAGCACCGGCUAACUUCGUGCCAGCAGCCGCGGUAAUACGAAGGGUGCAAGCGUUAAUCGGAAUUACUGGGCGUAAAGCGCGCGUAGGUGGUUUUGUAAGUUGGAGGUGAAAUCCCCGGGCUCAACCUGGGAACUGCCUACAAAACUGCAUGACUAGAGUACGGUAGAGGGUAGUGGAAUUUCCUGUGUAGCGGUGAAAUGCGUAGAUAUAGGAAGGAACACCAGUGGCGAAGGCGACUACCUGGACAGAUACUGACACUGAGGUGCGAAAGCGUGGGGAGCAAACAGGAUUAGAUACCCGAGUAGUCC
rnacentral:rRNA from 1 species